GGAAACCCCAAACACAGAGGUUUGGGGGAGCACCCAGUCAAUGCUCCACACAUGGAUGCUGGGAAAGGAAUGCUGCCCUGACUCUGCGGGGAGAGGACCAGGGAAGAUCCACAUUUGGUACUUUCUUCAUCUCUGCACUGUGUGCCGCUUCCUUCGGUUGAUUUUUAUCUGGGCCCUUUAGCUGUAAUAAACCAUAGAUCAAGUAAGGCCAGCCAAGUUCAGCGUAACAGGAGUUUUAUGAGAAGGACCAAGGUAACCUCAAAGCCAAGAGUGACUUCAGGGGGAACACAAGUCUGACGGGAAGGCCAAGUACAGCAGGGAGACUAAGGAGGCGAGAGGGACAGGCGGCAGAGGCAGAGGCCAAAGAUGAGGCCCAUCGGCUCAGUUUUUUGGAAGGCAGGCCCAGACAUGAAAAAAGGAUGCCAGUGCUCUCUCUUCUCCUUCCACACAUCCCGGCUGUGACUCUCAGGCUAACACAA
rnacentral:lncRNA from 10 species